rnacentral:rRNA from 1 species
CGGUGGAUGAUGUGGUUUAAUUCGAUGCAACGCGAAAACCUUACCACCUUUGACAUGUAUGGAAGUUUCCAGAGAUGGAUUCGUGCUCGAAAGAGAGCCAUAACACAGGUGCUGCAUGGCUGUCGUCAGCUCGUGUCGUGAGAUGUUGGGUUAAGUCCCGCAACGAGCGCAACCCUUGUCAUUAGUUGCUACAUUCAGUUGGGCACUCUAAUGAGACUGCCGGUGACAAAACCGGAGGAAGGUGGGGAUGACGUCAAGUCCUCAUGGCCCUUAUAGGUGGGGCUACACACGUCAUACAAUGGCCGGUACAAAGGGUCGCAAACCCGCGAGGGGGAGCCAAUCCAUCAAAGCCGGUCGUAGUCCGGAUCGCAGUCUGCAACUCGACUGCGUGAAGUCGGAAUCGCUAGUAAUCGUGGAUCAGAAUGUCACGGUGAAUACGUUCCCGGGUCUU